GUCUUCCUAAUCCUCCACAAAACUUUUUCUAGUUUCUAGAGGAGAAGCGUCAUCAUGGAACUAGUGUUGUUCGUAUAGUUUCAAACGACUUUGUAAUUUCCACCUCUCUCUCUCUCUCUCUCCUUCCUCUUCACUUAGAUCUGUCAAAGGUCAUGCUCUCUAAGAUUACUGUUAUACAACUCUCGGUUGCAAUCUGCUCCAAGAUUUGCAAGCGACUGACGUGAUUACCGACAGUUUCGAGCGCGUUUGGAUCUUUGUUGGUUGAAUUAGGUGGUCGAGGAUUUGAUCCUGUGAGAGGGAGUAUGAGAGAGAGAGAGAGAGAGAGAGAGAGAGAUUGGUGGUAUGAUUCGGGCCGGUGGGGAGUUGAAGGGAAGUAAUUCGGACCUCCUUGUGAACGUCCCCGAGGAAAGUGCCAUAUCCGACUACGUGACUGCGAGUGAUACGUUCCAAGAUGACGAUAUCAUGCUCAACAAAGAAGGGAUCCGGGUUGUGUCGCAAACUGAGACAUCCACAGUGAUCCCUAUGCACAGGGAAGAAACAACAUGUAAGCAGAUCUUGCAAGAGCUGAAAGCCAACCACGCAUCGUAAUGCCCAAAUGUUGUAAUGUGCCACGAUGCGUUUUAUAACAAUGGGUCCAUAUCUAUUGUUUUGGAGUACGUGGAUGCGGGUUCUCUUGCCGACAUCAUGGAGGAACUGGAACCAAAGUGUUUCCCGGAGCCAAACUUGGCGGUUGUUUGCAAGCAAGUUUUGCAAGGGCUCGUGUACAUUCAAGAAAACUCGGCACAUAAUUCACGGAGAUAUCAAACCUUCAAACCUCCAUAAAAUCGCAAGGACGAGGUGAAGAUCUCCGAAUUUGGUGUUGGUGCUGUUCUGGCCAACUCAACGACUCGGGAGGACAGGUUCGUGAUUACCCUUGUUUAUAUAUCUGUAAGUGGUGCUGAACCCAGUUUUUCUUCUGAUCGUUCACUGCCUUAUCUAGUGCUUAUUUUGCAUGAGUUCAGAAGUCAGUAAGCAUCACAAAACCAAACACUAGACCUUGACAAUGUGGCUACAAUUAAUUGCUAAAUCGUCUCUUAAAGGUACUGAAUCUUCUUUUCAAUACCAUCUCCGGUUACCUCGUUCACUUGAAUGUAUGGUGGAACAUGUUUGAUCUUUGUGAAGUUAUUGUUGGUCAGCCUGCCCCUGUUGCUCCUGCGGACCAAUUCUCCCCAGAAAUUGUUCUUUCAUUUCAGCUUGCUUGCAGAAAGAUCCUCAGUGCCGACCCACGGCAACAGAAUUAUUGGUGUAAACGGUGUCCAAACCCCCUCGCUGCAUUAUUUUCCUACUUCAUACCGCUUCUGUGGGUAAAAGUUCCAGUGGCAUCCAAGGUCGUGAAGCAAGUUUACUAAUAUCGUUGAAGUGACCUUUUAGAUGGCCCUCAUUUAUCAUAAUUCGGGUAAACAUUUCCAAUCACAGAAGCUAAGAUUUCGUUGUAUACGUGAAAUAUUAUCCACGAUCAGUUUAGUCUUCGUUGUGGAAAUCGCAGCUUUUGAAAAAAUAGGGAGACCCUUGACUCCAGGCCAAGUGACUGCCACCGUGUUGCGGUGUUCAUUCAGCAUGUCUCAGCUGCCUGGGUGAAAAGUCAUGAACUGAGGAACUUGCAUCACCAUCUAUAUGAGACACGUAGCUGUACACGUCAGUAAUGAGUAUGUAACAAAAGUGUGCAACUCACUAGUCGGAAGAUCGUGCCAUGGCUGCGAUGCAACGUUACGGCUAUCCACAAAGGCAAGGUCUUCAUGGUCGAGAGGAAGCAUCCCACCAAGUACCAGUUAAUUGGAAUUAUCGGGCCAUGACAUUUAAUAUCAACGUAAGUCACGGCACAUUGAAUUUCAAGUGUGAUCAUCAUGCACCUAGAAAAACCCAAGUGUUUUCAAAAUUGAGACCUGUGCCUUACUACAGUAGAUUACUAAUGCCGUCAGGUAAUCAAGGUGCAUUGCAGUCCCCCAAGUCGUGAAUCCUGCUGGAUCUCCGGGAACGCGAUCUGAUGAGGUUAUGAUACAGCUGAUGAUUAGAAACAAAAAUCAAAUGCAGAACCAAAGCUGUCACUGGUCAAAGGACAAGGUAGAUGAGGCAUCAGUAUCUAGUUCCUCAGAGCGUCAAGAGUCACGAACUUUCCAUUGGUCUAAUUUUGUCAGGAGCCUAUACUAACACAACACUGUUCCAGAGCUCAACACCAAAACGCAAAUCACAGGGUGCUGCGUAAACUAAAGGAUACAUACCAAUUUGCUUAAUUUUCUUUAAAGGCUUUGAGUUUACCCGA